rnacentral:rRNA from 1 species
GACGAACGCUGGCGGCGUGCUUAACACAUGCAAGUCGAACGGAAAGGCCCUGCUUUUGUGGGGUGCUCGAGUGGCGAACGGGUGAGUAACACGUGAGUAACCUGCCCUUGACUUUGGGAUAACUUCAGGAAACUGGGGCUAAUACCGGAUAGGAGCUCCUGCUGCAUGGUGGGGGUGGGAAAGUUUCGGCGGUUGGGGAUGGACUCGCGGCUUAUCAGCUUGUUGGUGGGGUAGUGGCUUACCAAGGCUUUGACGGGUAGCCGGCCUGAGAGGGUGAGCGGCCACAUUGGGACUGAGAUACGGACCAGACUCCUACGGGAGGCAGCAGUGGGGAAUAUUGCACAAUGGGCGGAAGCCUGAUGCAGCAACGCCGCGUGCGGGAUGACGGCCUUCGGGUUGUAAACCGCUUUCGCCUGUGACGAAGCGUGAGUGACGGUAAUGGGUAAAGAAGCACCGGCUAACUACGUG